CAUUACAAUUUUUUUUUGGCUGCUACUACUGCUUUAACUCGAGGGCUCAGUCCUAAAAUUGAGUUGAGAACUAAAACUAAUUGGUUCCAUACUACAAUGCCUAAGAAUCUUUAUCUAUUUUUAUUUUUGUGCUCAAUGACCUUUCAAAAUGCUAUCAUUUCUCUUGUAGGUACUUGCAAGGAUAUGACUACAACUUCACCUUUCUAACCAUAAAGGGCGCAGGAUAUAUACAGUCCCAGAAUACAAGGUAAGAGAAUCACUAGACUUCUACAGCUGUUGGUUGGAUGAAAUGUCACUAAAAUCAUUUGAGUUAUUUAUAUGGUGCAUUUUGCGAUACAUUUGUGUGGUGUUAUGAAUGUGAAACACAUUGUUUCUUACUGUUUGAGAUGUUAGUUAAGUUAGGCAAGAAAAGUUGUUUUGGUUGUUUCUUUUCUCCUUUCAGCAGUAUAUAAUGAGACAUUUUAUGUUUUUACCA